rnacentral:tRNA from 1 species
AGCCGAAUAGCUCAACUGGCAGAGAACUGGUCUUUGAAGCCAGAAGUUGAAGGUUCGAGUCCUUCUUCGUCUG